UACGUAGGGUGCGAGCGUUGUCCGGAAUUACUGGGCGUAAAGAGCUCGUAGGCGGUCUGUUUGCGUCGGCUGUGAAAACCCGGGGCUCAACUCCGGGCCUGCAGCCGAUACGGGCAGACUAGAGUUCGGCAGGGGAGACUGGAAUUCCUGGUGUAGCGGUGAAAUGCGCAGAUAUCAGGAGGAACACCGGUGGCGAAGGCGGGUCUCUGGGCCGAUACUGACGCUGAGGAGCGAAAGCGUGGGGAGCGAACAGG
rnacentral:rRNA from 1 species